CGACAUCGUUGUUCCCGCCAACACAUUUGACAUCAAUUUGGAAGGUACAUCCUAUACAGAGCUGACAACAGUAGCUAGUCGCUAGAGUCGUGCCUCUGACUAUCAACAAUGAAGCCAAGCCAGUCGCAAACUGAACACGGUGCGCAUCACCGUCGGAUAGAAACGCGCAGGCGCAUAUCGCGAAGCAGUUUCGUACUAGUGGCCUGUGGCACUAUUCCAAAUUCAACAAAUGAUCUAAGUGUAAAAAAUUAGGGUGAAAUAAUUCCCAGGAUCGACUUCAGCAAAAUAAACCAAAGUUACUUGGCACUGCAGUCUCUAUAAUGACGUCACCAGCAAUUACAAAGUCUCCGGAAAACCAGAAGGCCGAGAAAAAGUCUCCUACAAACUCAGCACGCACACCAAACCGCGCAGUAUCUGGCACCGAGACCCCUGCACCCGCAGCUUCCGCAUCCACGGCACAGCCACCGGAGACAUUCGGCUGGCUACGGAUUUUUAAACUAGCAGACCUCAUGAUGAAACAAGGUUGCUAAAUUUUUCUCCCAAAACUUAUCACAAUUAUUAAACAUGACAUAAGCGUCUAGCAAUAAUUUAUUAGGCUAUAACUCCACUACCAUUUUUAAAGUUGAUGGGGUAUUGCACGAAAAUAAGAUUCAAUAAAAAUAAGUACCUGCAUAAUAAUACUUCUCUCACAUAGUUAUUAUUUAAUUACAUCUAUACCUAUAUUCUUCUUAAUGAAACGUUAAUGGUUAAUCAAAAAGGAUACAGUAUUUUCAAAUGACAGCGGAGUCGUAGCCUAAAAACUGUAGGGAUAGGAAACUAGAAUCUUUAAUUAUUAUGUACUACUUGUUGUUAGUAUCUACAAGUUAGUUACAAGUAGGCAUUAUGAUUGUUAUUAGUUGUUAAUAAAUGUUAUUAAUUAAUUGGACAAUGAAAUAUUUUACUUUGUUAAGUGAAUGCCGCUCGUAAGUCAGCAAGUGAACUCAAAUGAAUGGCUUUUAUUUCUGUUCGUCUCUUGAAGACGACAGUAAUAAAUACCAAAAAGAUGCCAUUAAAAGGAACUUUGUAUAUCAUAAAAUGGAAAAAAAUGAAUUGUAUUAGAUGGUUCAGUUUCAAAAACAUCUAUUAGAAAAUAUCAUAACAAUUAUUCUGUAAUAUGUAGAACAAUAAAAUCUAUUCAAAAUAGUGUAAUAAA